UACGUAGGCAGCAAGCGUUGUUCGGAGUUACUGGGCGUAAAGAGUGCGUAGGUGGUGCCCUAAGUCUGUUGUGAAAUCUCCCCGGCUUAACUGGGAGGGUGCGGUGGAAACUGGGGGUGCUUGAGUGUGGGAGAGGUAAGCGGAAUUCCUGGUGUAGCGGUGAAAUGCGCAGAUAUCAGGAGGAACACCGGUGGCGAAGGCGGGUCUCUGGGCCGAUACUGACGCUGAGGAGCGAAAAGCGUGGGGAGCGAACAGG
rnacentral:rRNA from 1 species